GGAGGGUGCAAGCGUUAAUCGGAAUUACUGGGCGUAAAGCGCGCGUAGGCGGUCUUGUAAGUCGGAUGUGAAAUCCCCGGGCUCAACCUGGGAACUGCAUUCGAUACUGCUCGACUAGAGUAUGGAAGAGGGAAGGGGAAUUCCGGGUGUAGCGGUGAAAUGCGUAGAUAUCCGGAGGAACACCAGUGGCGAAGGCGCCUUCCUGGGCCAAUACUGACGCUGAGGCGCGAAAGCGUGGGGAGCAAACAGGAUUAGAUACCCUGGUAGUCCACGCCCUAAACGAUGUCGAUUAGCCGUUGGGAUCAUUUAAGGUCUUAGUGGCGCAGCUAACGCGAUAAAUCGACCGCCUGGGGAGUACGGCCGCAAGGUUA
rnacentral:rRNA from 1 species